rnacentral:tRNA from 1 species
GGAGAGGUGGCAGAGCGGACGAAUGCGGCGGUCUCGAAAACCGUUACGCCGGUAGCCCCGGCGUCGGGGGUUCGAAUCCCCCCCUCUCCGC